ensembl:lncRNA
AAGAUACUCAUGUAAUGGUACAAGAUCUCAAUGAUAGAUAUAACUGUAUUUUAUACCUAAAAUAUACCAAUAAACUUAACCGGGGCGGGGGAAAAAAGAGUCUUGUUUAAGGAUUUGGCUAGUUAAGGACAGAGCUCGGAUCCAACCCAACCCUGCCCAACUCCAGAGUCUGCACCGUCCUUCCACCCCUCCCCUGCCGGAGCAGAAGGGCGUCCAAGUAAGAACAGGCUUUUCUCUAGAUGUGGCAAUUUCCUGUUUAUUCUAAGCUGCAGCCUGGCAGUAGAGAGCUCAAAAUGCCACAUAAUAAUUACAUCUGCUUCUGGUGUUUCAGACAAUUUUACGAAUGGCUCUCACUUCAGAGAUAUACUUUGCCAAGGUGCCUGCUUCACAGCUAGAAUGCCUGUGUCCUGUGGGGACAAAGUCAGAAGGAGUCUCAGUCCCCAAAAUAGUCUGGUAGUGGCUGGUGGCAAAGUGAGGUUAGAAUUUGAAAUUGGGGAUUUGGUUGCUGUUUUUUUUUCUCACUGGGCACCUAGAAAUUUCCUGGCAAGAGCUUAAGGCUUACACACAUCUGUCACCCCACUUUAUAGUGUGACUGAGUCACAUCAGGCUAAUUUUGAAUUCUUUUUUCCUUCACCUCUGACUAGAGGUUCAGGGAAAGAAUGGACCAUUCAUGAUCACAUCGAUUCAAAGCCGUGUCAACCUCUCUAUCUGGGCCUAUAGAACAAAAAUCAGACCGCAGUUUCCUGAUGCCCAUUUGGAUUUGCCAACUGCUUUUCAGCUACAGACUUUCUUCUUCCUGAUUAGGACAGAGAUGCUUCUGGGGAGGGGAUGGGAGAGAGGAAGAAAGCAGUAAUACAUCUUACCAAGGCAACUUCCAACCCUAGGAUCAUGUGAUUCCACUAGCAUAUACUUCCAUAGGCACAGAUCUUACUCAAUACUGGUCUCCCUGCAUUAGAAAAUCCAAAUCCUAAAAAAAAAAAAAAAAAUCCAAAUCCUUUGUGUCACAGCUAUUAUUCUAUAAAACUAAUGUUUGCAUGCAAACAUAUAUACUAUACAUAUAUAUGCUUAACAUAUAUACAUGUUAGCUCACAUUGCUUAUCCACUUACAUCUUAGGAAAAUCACACCACCAUACACCUGUGUUUUAGGUAUUUAAAAAUAUUAUCUUAUGUUUCACCAAGAGUAAGUUCUAGAUUUAUGGAUGCUACUGUUAAACUUCAACAAGCAAACAGCUGUACCAACCUGCUAUAGCUCAUUUCAAGGCUACUAGCACUUACACUAAUUGAUUAAAAACGUAACAAGUAAUGUAUUGUAAAACUAUUGCAUGAUGUUUUUAAAGUAAUAGAAGAUCAAUGUUUAUUUUUUUCUUUUCCUAGACUAUAUAUAUAUAUAUAUAUAUAUAUAUAUUUUUUUUUUUUGGUACCGGGGAUCAAACUCGGGUCCUUGCGCUUACAAGACAGGAGGCAGAACCACUGACUCAGGUCCUUGUGCUUACAAGACAGGAGGUGGAACCACUGAGCUAAAUCCCCGGCACUAGACUAUAUUUUUAAAAGCCACACAUGUGGCUUUAAUGCUCUUUGCAGAUAAAGCUGGAUGACGGUAUAGCAAAAUGGAACUAGGCUGCAUUCAAACACUCCACAUGCUCUUACACGCACAACUACAAUUCCUGGUGUGCUAGGCAUUUGACAUUUAAAUAUCUGAAUGAUUAAGCUCAAUGCUUUGAGAAACUACUGGAAGAUCUACUAGUAUUAUCUGAUGGAAGGUUUGCAACAAUUGAUUAUAAAAUUAUUUUGUUCAAUUUUAAGAUGAGUUUCCAGUUCUGACCUCAAUUAAAACUUACAGUGGGUACCCUUUCUUAACACUUUAAAUUGUCAUCUUUCUUUCGUUCGUUCAAUAAUUGUUUAUUGAGCAACUACUACAUAAUGAUUGGACUUGAAAAAGAUACAAAUUUAAUUCCAUUAAAAUUAUAAUCUUAUACAAUUCAAAUAAAAUUUUCAUAGAACAAGCUCUUUCAUGGAAUCUUUAUAAGCUAAUUUAAAAAUGUGACAAAAAAGCACUGGGUCAACUGCAAAGGAUCAUUUUAUGGAAAGAGACCAAAUUAAGAAGGCUCCACUUCUAAGAAACAAGACUUAUGAUACAGACAGUGUGUAUUGACACAGGAAUAAACAGCAGGCCAAUAGAUCACAAUGAAAAAUCAGAAACAGACUUAGGAAUAUAUAUAAAGUAAAAACAAUAUUCAGGCCACCAAGAAAAGACUGCACUAUUCAGUAAAUGGUACUGCAGCAAUCAUUUACCUAUAUGAAAAGAAUAAAAUAAGAUUCAUACCUCACAUCCUCUGCAGAAGCCAAUUUAAGAUGAAUCAAAUAGGAAAAGAAAAUCUAUAAGACAUGUAAAAAUAUGAGAAUAUCUGUGUUUCAGAACUUCUUAAAUAACACAAUAGUAAAAUUCAUUUAAAAAUCAUCAAUUGGUUACACUAAAAUUGGGCUGAAAUUAAACAUUUCUGAAUAAAAAAAGACUACAAACAGAACAAAACAAACCAUGGUUUGGGAUCAGACAGGUAUCUAAGGCAUUAAUAAAAACUGCAAGGCAAUAAGAAAACAAUUCAAAAUCAACAAAGGAAGGAGAAAAUCUAUAUCAGCAAGAAAUUUAUGAAAAGAUACUGAACUUCCAACACAGAAUAUUAAACAGCCACACACUAUUUCACAGCUAUAGGAAUGGAUGAAUUUAUAAAUCUGACAAUACAAAAUAUUGGUAAUAAUGCAGAGCAAUGAGAUCUUCAUAUAUUGCAUGUAAUAAUUGUACAAGGAUUUUGGAGAGCAUUUUUCCAAUAUCUAGUAAAACCAGUGAUCUACAAUUCCUCUACUAAGUGUAAACCUAGCAAAAUUCUGCCCCAUUAGUGUAAGAUUAUUCUUUACAGUUAUUUAUUAAAGCCAAAAAUAGAAAACAAAUGUACAUCAACAACCUGAUGAUUAAGCCAAUUGACUGAAAAAGUAACAAGUAAUACAUUUAUCCCUGAUGUAGAAUAAUUUGUGAAUACACUAGAGCAGUGAAAUGAAAGGACAGGAGGGAUGUCUUUCAAUUUGGGCAAUGAUCACAAACAUGACAUUAGAUGAAAAAAGCAACUCUAGUAAGGCGACAGAAAAGUAGCCUUAUGUUCUAAAUGUUCAUGAAGAUCGAGGGCAUGCAAAAACAGUAUUAUAUGUUAUGAAUCUGUGCGUAUGUAUUGAAAGUCUGAAAAAUCAAAUGGAAAUACUGUACCUCAAAUCCAUCAGUUACCUCUGAAUGAUGAACAUCGUAAGUCAGUCAUGUCUCCUAGAAAAGAGAACCCCAUACAGAGAUUGCAUGCUAACAAUUUUGGUGAUACGCAAAUUCAAGGUGCCAAAGGGGAAGAAAGACAAACUGAAGACAGGAAAGGAUGGGAUAGAAAAACAAGUCAGCAUGUUAACAGCACAGGCAGUACAAAGAACCAUCCUCGGAACAAGCGCUCCGAGGGCGGGGGAGGGGAGAUGGAUCUUUCACUUCCUCCGGUCUUCUAGCUGUCCUUGGUUUAACCUCAGGAAGCGAAUUCUCCCACGCUUCUCGGACCUGUCACCUCUGUGGCAGUUGCCAUGGAAGCCAUCUCCCAAGCCCCACAGGAGGACGCUUCAUUCGCAUCUUGAAACGAUAAAGGAGCUAGCGAGUUCUAGCGUUUGCCUGCUGGGCUGCGAGCAGUGGAACCUCUGCCCAGAGUGCCUUGGGGUGCCACUGGCAGCCUCGGCGGGACCAACAGGCCAGGCUUCAGGAGCCGGGCAAGGAAGAGAGGAUCUGAUUGGCUACAAAGUGACCCAUGUGAAGGGAGAUGUGAUUGGAAGUACGCAUGAGGAGAUCCAACUGCAUAAAUAUAUAGAGAACCCAGUGGAACUCUCUGAGCCCCCAAACGAUGGCAGAACCACUGCAUAGAAGAAGCUGGAGUCCCUGAAUGACUGUAUGAAGCAGAAACUCUACCCCAUGUGCUCUGUGUACACUCAGUGGUUGGG